rnacentral:rRNA from 1 species
CCUACGGGAGGCAGCAGUAGGGAAUUUUGCGCAAUGGGCGAAAGCCUGACGCAGCAACACCGCGUGAAUGUUAAGCCCUUCGGGGUGUAAAGUUCUGUCAAUAGGGACGAAUUUUGACUGUACCUAUAAAGGAAGCACCGGCUAACUCCGUGCCAGCAGCCGCGGUAAUACGUAGGGAGCAAGCGUUGUUCGGAAUGACUGGGCGUAAAGGGUGCGUAGGCGGUUGUACAAGUUAGAAGUGAAAUACCCAGGGCUUAACUCGGGUGCUGCUUCUAAAACUGUAUGACUUGAGUGCAGUAGAGGUUAGUGGAAUUCCUAGUGUAGCGGUGGAAUGCGUAGAUAUUAGGAGGAACACCAGAGGCGAAGGCGGCUAACUGGACUGCAACUGACGCUGAGGCACGAAAGUGUGGGGAGCAAACAGGAUUAGAUACCCCUGUAGUC